rnacentral:rRNA from 1 species
GUGAGGAAUAUUGGUCAAUGGAGGCAACUCUGAACCAGCCAUGCCGCGUGAAGGAUGAAGGCCCUAUGGGUUGUAAACUUCUUUUAUUGGGGAAGAAACCUUGCUACGUGUAGCGAGCUGACGGUACCCAAGGAAUAAGGACCGGCUAACUCCGUGCCAGCAGCCGCGGUAAUACGGAGGGUCCGAGCGUUAUCCGGAAUCAUUGGGUUUAAAGGGUGCGCAGGCGGUAAAGUAAGUCAGUGGUGAAAUCCCUUCGCUCAACGAAGGAACUGCCAUUGAUACUGCUAUACUUGAAUAUAGUCGAAGUGGGCGGAAUGUGACAUGUAGCGGUGAAAUGCUUAGAUAUGUCACAGAACACCGAUAGCGAAGGCAGCUCACUAGACUAACAUUGACGCUCAUGCACGAAAGCGUGGGGAGCGAACAGG